AAUAUUGGACAAUGGGGGCAACCCUGAUGCAGCGACGCCGCGUGAGCGAAGAAGGCCUUCGGGUCGUAAAGCUCUGUCCUAAGGGAAGAAGAGGACGGUACCUUAGGAGGAAGCCACUGCUAACUACCUGCCAGCAGCAGCGGUAAUACGUAGGGGGCGAGCGUUAUCCGGAAUUACUGGGCGUAAAGGGUGCGUAGUCGGCCUUUUAAGUCAGAUGUGAAAGGCUACGGCUUAACCGUAGUUAGCAUUUGAAACUAAGAGGCUUGAGUGCAGGAGAGGAGAGUGGAAUUCCUAGUGUAGCGGUGAAAUGCGUAGAUAUUAGGAGGAACACCAGUGGCGAAGGCGACUCUCUGGACUGCAACUGACGCUGAGGCACGAAAGCGUGGGUAGCGAAC
rnacentral:rRNA from 1 species